UUUUAAUUUAGGCUCCGAGCUUGUUUACCUAAGUUGCGAAAAUAAGGUAACAAUGCCGCAUCAAGCAGAAAAUAUACUAUUUGGUGCCGGGAAGUUUUGGAAACGGAACUUCCUCUCGUGUUUAGAAAGGUGUCCAUGCAAACUAUUC
rnacentral:ncRNA from 2 species